rnacentral:tRNA from 1 species
GCCUUCUUAGUUAAGUGGUAUAACAGUUGCCUUGUAAGCAUCUGUCGGUGGUUCGAUUCCAUCAGGGGGCA